rnacentral:misc_RNA from 1 species
UUGUGGCAUUUGCUUUCUUGAUACUUGUUCGUUGCUCGGGUCUGCGGCAAAAUAGGGAGAAAGGAAAGGGUGCUGGCUGGAUUUGGAGAGAAAAGGAAAGAGAUGGCCAGAUGGGAGGAAGGAGAGAGAUGAGAGGGAAAGAGAGAGGUGAAAGGGGAAAGAAGAGUGGUGGAUAACCAAAAAAACCUGUUAUUGGAUGUGAAAGGGAUCUGUUUUAGCUAUUGAAUCAAAGUUGAUUGAUAUCAUUUUAACAAAUUAAAGUUGACUGAGUUAAAGUUAAAUAAUGCCUAUAAUUGAGAGAAGGUUGG